rnacentral:tRNA from 1 species
UCCCUGGUAGCUUGAAUGGUAAAGCGUCUGCCUACAAUGUGGGAGACCCAGGUUCGAUCCCUGGGUCGGGAA